UAGAUAGCAAGAAUUGCCUCUGGUCUGCAAGCCAUGGCCGUUCCCAUGGGUACCCUGCCUAUCUCAAAGAGGGGAAGAGAACCUUUGGUUCAUUGUUUCAAUUUAGAUUUUAUUUUUCUAAGUAGGACACAGCGAUUUUAGGAAAGAGUGGAGAAUGCUUUAUUACUGGCCUCUCUUCAAGAUUUACUCCGUCUUCUUAUCUUGUGGACACUCCUCAGAACAGCAUGCUUGUGGACACAGACCACGUACCUGGGAGAUACAAGGAAAGUCAGAGGCUUAGAAAAAUGUGAUGGCCUCCUUCAGGCCGCUUCACUGGUGAGUAUCCGAGGAGGCCAGAAGACGCCUUGGACGCCUUGUUGGACGCCUUGUUGGACGCCUUGGAACUGGUAUUGAUAGACAGUUGGUGGUUCUGAGCCAUCAGAUGUUGUCUUAUUAGAAUGGCUUUGCUAUUAUUUGUGGAUGUUCUUCACCCAAGUGGUCCUUGGAUUCAGUUCCUAUGACUCCCAAGGUUGCAGAAAAGUAGGCCAUAUCUGGGCUAAGGAAACAUCAUUAGGAAAAUCAACUCUUUGGCCUGUCCAUUUGUCCUGCUACUGGGAUAGCCAUGUUAUGAUGAAAUGCUGGCAUUCAGAGGAGGAGAUUAAUGUCACUUUGUCAAGUAAGCCAUUGCUAUGACUUGCGCAAUACAAAAUGUUGGAUCAUCAGAUUUUUUAAGUUCAAAAUUGAUUUCCCAGAAGUGAACAGGCAGUGCGGGAAAAAGGAAGUUAAACAACGAUUUGCUCAAUUUGAAAGCAUCACUUCAUCACAUGAGCCUAAACCUUUCCCAAAUGAAACACUCCUGCCUUGAACCACCACCAUCCUCCCGAAUGAAUUCAUCCAGAGGAGCAGUAAGGUCAUCAUAAUUAAUCACCGAUUCUUUAUUUAUUAUUGGCUGGCUUUGCGCUAAAAUGAUUGGGUUUCUCAGGACAGAUUGCUAUCUGUGUUACUGGCUAUGGAGGUUUCCUUAAUACGCUGUCAGGACCAGUAACAGGUUAGGUAAACAAUGAUGUCACCCGGUUAUGCUGCCUUCCUCACAUUACAUUUUAACACAGAGGUAAGGUCACUUGACUUGAUCCAUUUGGCUUUUUAUAUUUUGCCCUUUAAGGAUCAUUCUUAGGAAAAUUGGAUUUUUUUUGACACUUCAUUUUUGCUAUUAUUUACAGUAGAAGUUAUAUUUGCUUCUUAAAUAAACAUAAGGGGCCAGAAAGAAGGUGGGAAGAUACUGAUGGUCACGUUUCACACACACACACACACACACACACACGCACGCACGCACGCACGCACGUACACACGCAUCCACACGCACCCCUUUAGUAUUUGCUCUUGAUUUUGAAACGUGUUAAAAUUCUUCUGCAAGUUCUUUUGGUGGGCCUCAAGGAACAGAGUUCUUGGGAGCUGUUGAGGUUUCAGCUCUACCAAACUUGGCAAUCCUCAGUAGUUACUCAAGCCCGAAAUAUUUCAAUUGAGUUAAUCUUUAACCAGCCCUAGUGACUAGUUUAUACACUGUAAAACGUUGUGGAGUUCUUUGUAUCAGCAAAUAGGACAAGCCCAGAAUCCUGGAGCCUGCAUUGCCUUUGUUAUUCAGACAUAACAGGGUGUUUUUCCUCUAAGUAUUUCAGCCGUGUUCUUCUUACUUGAAAGCUUUGCCUGUUACCCAAGGACUUCUGUAUCUAAAGUAUGUUAAAGAUACAUAGAAAAGGAAUGACAUCAUGGAUUUUGUCAACCGGGCUUUGUGUUUAGCUAACGCUGAUGAGUCACAGUCUUGUGAGCAGCCAGGCACCUUUCCAAACAGAGGCUGUUAGGAUCCUUGACAACAGAACCUGUGGAUGUUUUGAAGAGGAGAUUUCAACAAGUGACCUGCCUGCUUGGUCAUACCAGGUUCUGUGGGCAGGAAAAAAAAAAAAAAAGAAAGAAAGAAAUGUUCUUAGUCCGGAUGAAUAAUAAAACACCGAGCAGGGGACUGGAGUUAGUAAAGCUGACUCACUUCCUGGUUUCCAGAUGAAAGGAAUCGUCCAAGAAAUGACUCUCACAAGGAAAUACUUCCUUCAGUUGACUAGCUGUGUCUUUUUCAAGCACGGCUGCCUAUCAGAGUGCCUUGUCAGUCGUUUGGAAUGUUGAAAAGUAAAAUUAAAUUAUGAAAUAGUUGUGUGCAUUAAGAGGCAGCCUGCUCAAUGUGUGAGAACUGCUGACUUCAGAUAUCCCUCUGAAGAAACAGCUGUGUUGAAUACGCAUGUGUCCUGACGACGGACAACCCCCGCUUCCCAUUUAGGGAAAUGCGCCAUUAAUCUCACCUGCAGGGUGAAUGUGGACCCUGGUGGCUGUGCAAGAGGAAGCUCGGAAGGGUGUGCUGGAGGUACACUCACGGCUGGUAUCCGGAGAGCAGAGAGGGUAGAGGCACACAGGGCUGUGAAGUUUUCCCUGCGUCACGUUGACAAACUGACUCAGCAGGAGGUGCCUACAUGGGAAAGAGACUGUCCAUCUUCACUGCAGCUCCCACAAGGUUGAGCCUGGUUCUUCUGUUGUCCUGCACAGAGCUGCGUCCACAGAAGUCUCACACCUGGCCAAGGCGCUUUGGCUCUCUGCCACACUGCCUAACAUCAGCUGACACUUCGUAGCAGACAGUUUUAAUUCUCUCAGCCCAUAAGUGCUACCCAACAAUCAGAUUCCCUUGGAGAGAUAGGAGAAGCUGAACCAGGCCACCUUAUCUAUAUGACGGCAACUUUAUCUAUAUGAUGACAUUUCGACAAAUGGUGUCCAUGCUACCCUCAGAAGUGUGAGGCUCGGAGAAGGAGUGAAGUUUGCACAGUUGAGAUCUGGUGAUGCCAGCAGAGAUAUGCGUGUUGUCAUCGCAGCGAUUAUCCUCCGCCUUUCCACUCCGCUCUUUGGAACUCAUCAAUGGGAUGACGUCAGCAUUCGGACCUGCUCCACUGAUGAAGAAACUUCACUGGGGAACUAGGAACAAUAUUAACACAAUUAAAGAGGCAAAUAUAAAAUUGAAUCAGAGUUAUCUUAUGCCUAAUCAAAAAGUACUUAAUUCUGACAGAGACAGAGCAGGAUUGCUGAAGGAGAAUUCAGGAUGCACAGUUUAAAGGUUACCUCUGCCCCCACGCAAGCUGUACAACAUUGCAGUUUGUCAUUGUUCUUAAUGAACCCGUGCUCCUUCUCUGUAAAAGAGACAUACUUUACAAAAGUGAUUAUAUGCGACAAGAAUGAGGAAAAGUUGUCAUAAGUUUUAUUCCUACAGGAAUACAAGGCAUGACUUCUGUAACUAUGGAAAAUUAUCAUUUUGCUUGAAAUGUAAACUGAAAGAAAUUUUUAAAUGACUGUAUGUAAAAUCCAUCUAUGUGAAGUCUACAUAGAUUGUAAAAUGCAUUUAAUGACUGAGUUGUAUAGAAAUUAUUAUUAACUAAAUGCAACUUGCAUUAUUCUAUUAUAAAGGACACACUAGUUUCUUCAUUGAGAACUAAAAAAAUAUACAUCAUGGACCCUUCCUCCAUAAAAAACUUUUGGGUACAACACAUAAAAAUACUUAGAUAUAAACAGUAAUCAACAUAUGAAACUAUAUUUUUUUAUUUUAUUAAUUAGUUUAGCCAACUCUUAAUACAUGCAUUUUAAAGUCUAUCUAGAGUUCCAAAAGAUGGCCAUCCACUCAAGAUUGUGAUCUUAGAUAUCUGAGUCCGUAAACUAUUUUGGUUAAUGUACUUCCGCAAACACGGGAUUCAGGUGCACAGAGAGCACCUGGAACUUUGCUUUUUAACCCAUAGUUUAGCAGCCAGCUUUGUCCUAGAGGUAGUAUAAUUACAGUCUGUCUCAAGCAUAUUAUUUCCUUUUCAUAACUCAUUUUAAAAUGCAAGGUAGACAUAAUUAAUUUACAACUUCAAAAAAACCUACUGUUUUUGGGUUUUUAGACAAGGAAGGUCUCACUGUGGAGCUCAGGCUGGCCUUGAGCUCACCGUGCAUCCUUGGUUUUUCUCAGAGUAACGGCAUCCUUCAUUUUCUUCUCAAGUGCUUGGGUGAUAGGCACUGACUAUUACAUGCUGCUUAUACUUUUAGAUAACUUUGAAAGAUUUAUUUUAUUUUUAAUAUACUUGUGUAAAUAGGGUGUACAUAUUGUUUGAAGGUGUGCUUGCCCAUGUGAUGUACAGACUGGCUGACACAAGCCCCCAGGAUCUUUCUGUCUUUGACCCCAGUGCUGAGGUCACACGCAUGUGCUUCCACACUGGGCUCUUUAUGUGUUGUGAUGAAUUGUGAGUUUGAUUCAACCUAGAGUUACCUUGGAAGAGAGUUUCAAUAAAGGAUGGUCUACAAUGGGUUGGAGUGUGAGUAUGUCUAUGGGGGGUUAUCUUGAUUAAAUUAAUUGAUGUAGAAGAUCAAGUACAUACUAGGGGUCACGAUUCCCUAGGAAGGCAGUCCUGAAUGAUGUGAGUGAAAAAAAAUCACUCGAGAUGAGUACAAAUCUCACAAACAAAUGAACAUGCAUGUGUCUGCUUCCUUCCCCUGCGGAUUGGAGUGAGGUGACCAGCUGCUUGAAGUCCCCACCACCUUGAUUCUGUGCUAUGCUGGAUUGUAACCUGGAAUUGUGGGCUAAAAGCAAAGUUUUUUCCUCCAAACUGCCCGUUGUCAGGGUAAUUCAUCACAGCAACAGACAUGAAACCAAAACAUGUAGAUAUGGAGGUCAGAAUCCAGGUCCUUACUUGACUCAGCAAGAACUUUUGACUCACCAAGUUUUCUCGCUAGCU